UGUCCAGCCUCUUAUAAUUGUAGCAAACAAAUGUGAUGUGAAGAGAAUAGCUGAACUUUCUGAAGAUGAUCAGAAAAUAUUUAUAGGUUUGCAGGCUGAAGGCUUCCCUGUGAUAGAGACCAGCACGCUGACUGAGGAAGGUGUCAUUAAAGUGAAAACAGAGGCUUGCGACAGGCUUUUGGCUCAUCGAGUGGAAACCAAAAUGAAGGGCAACAAGGUGAACGAGGUGCUGAACAGACUGCACUUGGCU